UGGGGAAUUUUGGACAAUGGGCGAAAGCCUGAUCCAGCAAUGCCGCGUGUGUGAAGAAGGCCUUCGGGUUGUAAAGCACUUUUGUCCGGAAAGAAAUCCUUGGCUCUAAUACAGUCGGGGGAUGACGGUACCGGAAGAAUAAGCACCGGCUAACUACGUGCCAGCAGCCGCGGUAAUACGUAGGGUGCAAGCGUUAAUCGGAAUUACUGGGCGUAAAGCGUGCGCAGGCGGUUUGCUAAGACCGAUGUGAAAUCCCCGGGCUCAACCUGGGAACUGCAUUGGUGACUGGCAGGCUAGAGUAUGGCAGAGGGGGGUAGAAUUCCACGUGUAGCAGUGAAAUGCGUAGAGAUGUGGAGGAAUACCGAUGGCGAAGGCAGCCCCCUGGGCCAAUACUGACGCUCAUGCACGAAAAGCGUGGGGGAGCAAAACAGGAUUAGAUACCCUGGUAGUCCACGCCCUAAAACGAUGUCAACUAGUUGUUGGGGAUUCAUUUCCUUAGUAACGUAGCUAACGCGUGAAGUUGACCGCCUGGGGAGUACGGUCGCAAGAUUAAAAC
rnacentral:rRNA from 1 species